GGAAUUUUGGACAAUGGGCGCAAGCCUGAUCCAGCCAUGCCGCGUGUGUGAAGAAGGCCUUCGGGUUGUAAAGCACUUUCGGCCGGAACGAAAUCGCGCGGGUGAACAAUCCGCGUGGAUGACGGUACCGGAAGAAGAAGCACCGGCUAACUACGUGCCAGCAGCCGCGGUAAUACGUAGGGUGCGAGCGUUAAUCGGAAUUACUGGGCGUAAAGCGUGCGCAGGCGGCGCCGCAAGUCAGGCGUGAAAUCCCCGGGCUUAACUUGGGAAUUGCAUUUGAAACUACGUGACUGGAGUGUGGCAGAGGGAGGUGGAAUUCCACGUGUAGCGGUGAAAUGCGUAGAGAUGUGGAGGAACACCGAUGGCGAAGGCAGCCUCCUGGGCCAACACUGACGCUCAUGCACGAAAGCGUGGGGAGC
rnacentral:rRNA from 1 species